UCCCUUGUAUUUGGUGAUAGUAUAAAUAAUGGGUAUUCCGGGUAAUUUUUCAGUAAAAGACCUAUCCUCCCCGAGCAUGUAUAACCAUAUAGCUAAUGGCAAUAUGUUUACUGCUCGCCAUUAGAAACGAAAUCUGUGUCCAUUUAUAAAAUUAAGAACCGUAGACCGGAAGAAAGUCAGGUCAAACUAAUGUGCCAGCCACCGCGGUCAGACAAGAUGGCUAACCCAAUUUCACUCCCAACUCUAUGGUAAAUUUUAGGCAUAAACCACUUAAAUAAGAGGUGUAAUUUGAAACUUAUCAUCUUACCCAUCAAUGCCGCUUCGAAACCCCAUGAAACCUAGAACCCAAACAAGGAUUAGAUACCCUUCUAUUCCUAGGCAUAAAAAGAGAACCGGUACUACAAACACAUGUUUAAAACCGAAUGCACUUGGCGGUGCCCUAACCAAUUAGGGGAACCUGUUCCUUAAUCCGAUGAUCCACGUCUUCACUUCCCCACCUUGCCUUAAGCAGCCUGUGUAUUGCCGUCGCCAGCCAAAAUAGCGAUAUUAGAGCUCCUUAUGUUCUUGGACUAUCCACCCCACAACAAGUCAGGUCGAAAUACAGCCCAUGGUGGGGCGAGAAUGGGUUACAUUUCUUAAUAGUAAUGGAAUUUAUUAAUAACAAAUAAAUGAAAUAGGACUCAAUAGUAAGUUAAAAAAAAGUAAUUUUCCUGAAUUGAGCUCUGGGGCGUGUACAAAUCGCCCGUCGCUCUCGCCGAAAGGGGAGAUAAGUCGUAACAUGGUAGGCGUACCGGAAGGUGUGCCUGCAUAUAC
rnacentral:rRNA from 1 species